rnacentral:rRNA from 1 species
AUUGAACGCUGGUGGCAGUCCUAACACAUGUAAGUCGAACGAGUGGCGGACGGGUGCGUAAUGUCUGGGAAACUGCUCGAUGGAGGGGGAUAACUACUGGAACCGGUAGCUACUACCGCAUACCAUCAGAUGUGUCCAGAUGGGAUUAGCUAGUAGGUGGGGUAACGGCUCACCUAGGCGACGAUCCCUAGCUGGUCUGAGAGGAUGACCAGCCACACUGGAACUGAGACACGGUCCAGACUCCUACGGGAGGCAGCAGUGGGGAAUAUUGCACAAUGGGCGCAAGCCUGAUGCAGCCAGGCCGCGUGUAUGAAGAAGGCCUUCGGGUUGUAAAGUACUUUCAGCGAGGAGGCGUUACUCGCAGAAGAAGCACCGGCUAACUCCGUGCCAGCAGCCGCGGUAAUAC